rnacentral:tRNA from 1 species
GUCGCUGAAACCGGCCUGCUUGGGAGAGCGUUCGGUUCACAUCCGAGAGGUCGAGAGUUCAAGCCUCUUCAGGUCCA